rnacentral:sRNA from 1 species
GGUGGGGACUGAUUACUCAAAAAUAAAUAUUUUAACAUUUCAUUGAGUCGUCUAAUGAAUAAGAAAAUCAUCGAGGGCUUCCUGCAGCUCAGAGAGAAUUCUAGUAGUGCAGAAAAUACACUGGGAGAAGAGAAGAAGAAACCGAAGGGCGCCUGCUGAGCGGUUACUCAUUUGUGACUAGUUGGAGACGUACUUUCCUGUGCGUUUAUUUUAAGAUGAAAAAUAAACACCAUCUUUCCUUGUCUUAAAAAUAGCUUCAGACUAGGGUUAUGCUUGCUGAAAAUCGCACUGAGCAACUUCUAUGAGAGAGGGUCCGUGUGAAAACAGGAGGAAGAGUCUACAACCUUGCAUGCUCCUCUUCUUCCAGGUCCGAUAGGAUAAUUUCUCUCACAGGCACUUCCUUGGCCACUUCCGGGAAAGUGGGGUGGGGGCGGUCACCGUAUCCCUCCGCCAGUGCCGGUGCAAGUCGCCAUGCCUCGGCGCCCUGCCUGCACCCCGGGAGUUCGCGCUCCCUGGGUCUGGUGGGGUGCCCGAGGCCACAGGGCUUGCAAGCACAGGGGCCAGGAGUCUGAACACAUUGGGCUGGGCGCAGGGGGCUUCUGAGUCCUCUGGGAAAAGUGGCCAGAAAAGGUGGAAAGGUCCUUUUGCAGGUAGCUGUCUGCGGGGUCUAAGGCCACUCUGGACAGCCAUUCUGUGGGUGCUCGCCCCAGCCUCUGCAGGAGGGAGCGGAUCCCGCCUAGAGGCACCGAGUGGCUCGCCCUGUGCAAAGCGCUUGGGGACACAGGGACUCGGUGAGCGACGCUAGCUAUAGCUUCCACUGCUCAGGCUGAGUGUCGUAGUGUGCCUUUCUUCCCGGCGGUACUGGAGGAUUCCCGAGCGCUCGGCCUGGGGUCUAAUUCCAGAAGCUUCUCGCCUUUGUUCAUGGACAGUUUUUCCUUCGAGGCGUCAUUCAGGCGGCCAGUAGGUCAUGUAGGUCAUGUGCUCGGCGAUCAGAGAGCCUCGGGACGUGGAGGGACCCCGGUGCCUUGUACACCCUCGGAGGGAGGGGCUGCCGGAGCCGAAGUUAGGGCUUCAGGUGCUUAGAAGAGCGGCGUGGAGACCCGCGUGUGUCCUCGUCUCAGCUUCCAGCCGCUGCGAGUGGACGCGGAAGCGCCACCGAGACCCGGGAGUCCCAAGCCGUGGAGCGCCGCUAGCAGCACAGCGGGCGGGAGGAAGGACCGCAGAGAGCCACAGAGCCGGGCGAGCAAGGGCGGGGACAGACGCCCUGGGACCCUGGACCCAGAGACUCAGAGGGGCUCAGACUCCGAGCCCCGCUGAAAGCUGGAGUUAGACUCAGGCUCGUCCCUAGAUGCUGCCAAGGCAGCUUGUCCCCUUCAGCGCUGGAUCCGGGUCAGACUUUUGCAGGAUGGCACGUCCACCUUCUGAAAUAGGUGGGCAAAGCUGUCUGCAUCCCCACAUUCACAUUUACAGACAGAAAUGUCCUUGGGGUGAGGAAGCAAAGGAAAAUAUGUAGGAGGGGCAGGGGGCGACUAAUACUGAGGGUUGGGUGAAGACUCUGGGAGAAACCAUGCCUUCCUUAAGGCUGUAAAAAGUCACUCAGUGCCCUAGAAAUCACUAUUUGGAUGAAGAAAUCUGCCUGAGGUCCCCCUUUCACAGCUGUUCCCUCACCUCUGAGCACUUCAGAGCCCAUUUCACAGAUAUACAGGCUGAGAUCCAGAGAGUUUAAAUGACACAUCCAAUUUCUUCUCUUUUCUAUGUGCCUCGGUGUUCUUUUAAUGUACGUCCCCCGCUCCCCGCAACUCUUUUGAAAAACAAACCAACCAACCAAAACCAGAUAUUUUGCUCUUCUUUCCUAAGAAGGCUGAAGGAUUAUUCAGACAGCCUUUGCUCAAGAUGUUCAACUGCCCUCGCACACGAAGAAAGGAAUCGAGGCCUUAGAACCCCACUUGGAGGCUCCCUGUAUAACAGAGACAUUCUAACCAUGGCAGAGCCCCUUUCCUUCCCUCAUGGGCUCAAGGUUUCGCAUAUGGAAGUCAGAAGGACCUGACUAUUUCUUCUUUUGAUAUUCCUCCAAGCUCCAGUGAUUUUUGAAUUUCAUAUUUGAUGCCAAGUGUUUAAAGCUGGAAAAAGGAGGGGAGACUAAUUAUAAACAGAACUUACCUGACUAAAAUCUCGGGGGAAUCGAGAGAAAUGACUCAAAUAUUUUGUGAUUCUAAAAAAAUCAAAAGUGCAUUCUUUUGUGGCAAUUAUGAGCUAGGCUGAGAAAUAAACAUUUGUUCUCCUUUUCUGCCA